CGGGGUGUGGCUCAGCUUGGUAGAGCGCCUGGUUUGGGGCCAGGAGGUCCCCGGUUCGAAUCCGGGCACCCCGACCA
rnacentral:tRNA from 1 species